AGAGUUUGAUUCUGGCUCAGAUUGAACGCUGGCGGCGUGCUUAACACAUGCAAGUCGAACGUGAAAGUCCUUCGGGGCGAGUAAAGUGGCGCACGGGUGAGUAACGCGUGGAUAAUCUACCCUUAAGAUGGGGAUAACGGCUGGAAACGGUCGCUAAUACCGAAUACGCUCCCGAUUUUAUCGUUGGGGGGAAAGAUGGCCUCUGCUUGCAAGCUAUCGCUUAAGGAUGAGUCCGCGUCCCAUUAGCUAGUUGGCGGGGUAACGGCCCACCAAGGCGACGAUGGGUAGCCGGUCUGAGAGGAUGACCGGCCACACUGGAACUGGAACACGGUCCAGACUCCUACGGGAGGCAGCAGUGGGGAAUAUUGCGCAAUGGGCGAAAGCCUGACGCAGCGACGCCGCGUGAGGGAUGAAGGUUCUCGGAUCGUAAACCUCUGUCAGGGGGGAAGAAACCCCCUCGUGUGAAUAAUGCGAGGGCUUGACGGUACCCCCAAAGGAAGCACCGGCUAACUCCGUGCCAGCAGCCGCGGUAAUACGGAGGGUGCAAGCGUUAAUCGGAAUCACUGGGCGUAAAGCGCACGUAGGCGGCUUGGUAAGUCAGGGGUGAAAUCCCACAGCCCAACUGUGGAACUGCCUUUGAUACUGCCAGGCUUGAGUACCGGAGAGGGUGGCGGAAUUCCAGGUGUAGGAGUGAAAUCCGUAGAUAUCUGGAGGAACACCGGUGGCGAAGGCGGCCACCUGGACGGUAACUGACGCUGAGGUGCGAAAGCGUGGGUAGCAAACAGGAUUAGAUACCCUGGUAGUCCACGCUGUAAACGAUGAUUACUAGGU
rnacentral:rRNA from 1 species